rnacentral:rRNA from 1 species
UAAUACGUAGGGGGCGAGCGUUGUCCGGAUUCAUUGGGCGUAAAGCGCUCGCAGGCGGUCGGCCGCGUCGUGCGUGAAGGCCCUCGGCUCAACCGAGGGUGGUCGCAGGAAACGGGUCGGCUUGAGGUAGGUAGGGGGACGCGGAAUUCCCGGUGUAGUGGUGGAAUGCGUAGAGAUCGGGAGGAACACCGGCGGCGAAGGCGGCGUCCUGGACCUGGCCUGACGCUCAGGAGCGAAAGCGUGGGGAGCGAUCCGGAUUAGAUACCCGGGUAGUCCACGCCGUAAACGAUGCGGACUAGGUGUCGGGGGUAUCGACCCCCUCGGUGCCGCAGCCAACGCGAUAAGUCCGCCGCCUGGGGAGUACGGCCGCAAGGCUA